rnacentral:snRNA from 1 species
GGAUGUGAGGGUGAUCUGGCUGCGACAUCUGUCACCCCAUUGAUCAUCAGGGUUGAUUCGGCUGAUCUGGCUGGCUAGGCGGGUGUCCCCUUCCUCCCUCACCGCUCCAUGUGCGUCCCUCCCGAAGCUGUGUGCUCGGUCGAAGAGGACGACCAUCCCCGAUAAAGGAGGACCGGUCUUCGGUCAAGGGUAUACGAGUAGCUGCGCUCCCCUGCUAGAACCUCCAAAUAAGCUCUCAAGAAAGCUUUAAGUAACACUGGCUGUUAACUUACUCUGGAGCAUCUUGUUUGCUGCAAA